rnacentral:rRNA from 1 species
UUAUACAUGCAAGUCGAACGAAGUAGCAAUACUUAGUGGCAGACGGGUGAGUAACAUGUAGGUAUCUUCCCUUUGGUGAGGAAUAACACGAGGAAACUUGUGCUAAUACCUCAUAAGUCUUUACGGAGAAAGCUUUAUGCGCCGAAGGAUGAGCCUGCACUUGAUUAGUUAGUUGGUAGGGUAAUGGCUUACCAAGACUUUGAUCAAUAGCUGAUCUGAGAGGAUGAUCAGCCACAUUGGGACUGAGACACGGCCCAAACUCCUACGGGAGGCAGCAGUAGGGAAUAUUGCACAAUGGAGGAAACUCUGAUGCAGCGAUGCCGCGUGAGUGAAGAAGGCCUUUGGGUUGUAAAGCUCUUUCGUCGGGGAAGAAAAUGACUGUACCCGAAUAAGAAGGUCCGGCUA